rnacentral:lncRNA from 1 species
UUGCAAACUGUACCUCUUUGUGAACAGUUGAACAGUAUUAGACUUUUUCAGCAUUUUUUUUUCUUUUUUUUUUUUUGUAGAAGAGCAAGCAUUCAAGUAUUUUGGGAGUGCAGUAAUGGACAUGUGUGAAGAAAUGGAAUUACCAUAUUUGAACAUGGAUUCCAAGCAGCACAAGACAAGAAGGAAGGAAAAGAACUAAAGAACCAAAGGAACUUUUUCAAUGUGAACAGAAUCACAGAAAAGACUUGAUGAUGUCUGUGGGAUUUGGACCAGGUGAUUGAAAAGCAAAAUGGUUAUAAAGAAUCUAUGUGUCUAUUUUUUUUUUUUUUUUUAAUACAGUAUUUAUGUUUUAGACAUAUAUAAACCCGAGAAUUUGCUUGUACUGAAUACCUG